GUUCUAUUCAUGCAGUACAUACACUAAAAUUGGAACGUUACAGAGAAGACUAGCAUGACUCGUGCACAAGGAUGACAUGCAAAUUUGUUUGUGAAGUGUUUCAUAUUUUC